UACGUAGGGGGCCAGCGUUGUCCGGAAUCAUUGGGCGUAAAGAGCGUGUAGGCGGCCAGGUAGGUCUGGUGUGAAAACUGGAGGCUCAACCUCCAGCUGUCAUCGGAAACCAUCUGGCUAGAGUCCGGAAGAGGAGAGUGGAAUUCCUGGUGUAGCGGUGAAAUGCGCAGAUAUCAGGAAGAACACCUAUGGCGAAGGCAGCUCUCUGGGACGGUACUGACGCUGAGACGCGAAAGCGUGGGGAGCGAACAGG
rnacentral:rRNA from 1 species